rfam:Trichophyton benhamiae CBS 112371 contig01535.1, whole genome shotgun sequence.
GGGGCAAUGGCGUAGUUGGGAGCGCGUUUGACUGAAGAAAACUUCAGGAACAAGGUAUUUCUACCUAGUUGAUCAGAAGGUCACCGGUUCGAUCCCGGUUUGCCCCA